rnacentral:lncRNA from 1 species
ACCUUUUAGGCCCUUAUUCUACACUCCUCCACAACCCUGUUACAAAGCUAUAAAUAAUCAUAAUAGAAGAGGGAAUAGUGAAUUAUUCAACACGGUAACAACAAAUAAGUGAAGUGUAUCACCAAAUAAGUUAAUCACAAAUUUAAGAAGAGCAGUUAAAAUCAGAAAGCACAAAUGGGUAAGAUUACCUUUGGUCACAAUUGUUGAAGGAGAAAACCCAGACUUGAUCGUAGAGAGCGUUUGUUAAAACCUGGAAAAGACGCUUCAAGCACUGAAUUAGCCAAUAAGUGCAUGUAUUAAUCAAAUCAGUUAGACAAACUUGAACAACAAAGUUGCAUUAGAAAGCUAAAAUAUUAACAAAAUAAUUAUCGACAACAUCUAACUUCCUUCAGUGCUUUAUAAAGCUAAAAUAUUAACAAAGUUGCGGAACAAUGGGAGCAAAAAAGGACAAUUAGAUGGAACUCUCAAAUGGAAAAGGAAAAAGGAUAAAUUAGGAGAAUAAAAAGCAGUAGGGGGAGAUAAAAGGGAUUACCAAUUUCUUUUUAGUUCUUGUACUCUAUUGUAGAUUCAACUUAGAAUGUUGUUUCUAUGCUAAUUUUGCACUGUUAUAAUUACGAGAUAGGUAAUAAAAAAAAAGCAGUUCUUUAGCAAUGGAGGAGAGGAAAC